rnacentral:rRNA from 1 species
UACGAAGGGUGCAAACGUUGCUCGGAAUUAUUGGGCGUAAAGCGCACGUAGGCGGCUUAGCAAGUUGGAUGUGAAAUCCCUCGGCUCAACCAAGGAAGUGCAUCCAAAACUGCUGAGCUUGAGUACUUAAGAGGAUCGCGGAAUUCCCGGUGUAGAGGUGAAAUUCGUAGAUAUCGGGAGGAACACCAGUGGCGAAGGCGG